rnacentral:rRNA from 1 species
UUUAACUAAUUUGGUUCUGGUUUUUAUAAUUAGGGGAGUUAAAAUUUAUGCAUGCGAACUUGUAGUAAUCUGGUAAAGCAAGUGAUCCUCUUUGGGGCUUAAUAUUCUUAAAUAAAGUUAGAGGGGCCCAUAAAAAUUAACUGUAAUGCAUAUAGAGAACGAUGUUUGUUAAGUAGCGUUACACCUGCAGCAAUAAAUAAUUAACAAUAACUGAGAGGUUGAUUAUGUUAAGACUAUUAAUAAGCGUGGCUAAAUAUCGUGCCAGCAGCCGCGGUUACACGAAUAAGCUAUCUAAUAUAGUAAGCGGCUUAAUGAAGAAACUAAAUCUAUUAAUAAACUAAAAGGGUAAAACUAAAAGUUAAAUUUUAACUUAUUUGGAAAGUUUAUAUUUUGGAGACUUCGAAAUUUAGGGGGGAAACCUGGAUUAGAUACCCAGUUAUUCUUAAAAGUUAAACUUAAAUGCCGGUGGAGUAUGGGGGAGACCUUGAGAAACAAAGAACUUGGCGGUUGCUUAAGUCUGACUAGAGGUACCUGCUUUUGAAAAUUGAUGAUCCGCAUUACACCUUACCUUUUCUUGAAAAGUUCAGCUACUAUAUCAUCGUCGUUAACCUCCUAUUGUGAAUUUAAGGUGGGUAUAAAAUUAAUUUAGAUAAGACGUCAGAUCAAGAUGGUGUUUAUGAAGAGGGCUUAAGUUGGUAGCAUUAGCUUUUGGCUACUUUAGUUUGGAAUUUUUUUUGAAAUUAAAAAAUGAAAUAGGAUUUAGUAGUAAAGUUUACUAGAAAUUAAGCUUGAAAUUAGAUACUAAGCUUCGUACACAUCGCCCGUCGCCUGCGAGGUAAAACUUGGAGUAAGUCGUAACAUAGUAGGUGUACCGGAAGGUGUGACCUGG